UUCAGGAUGACCAAGUGGUCUAAGGCAAUGUGUUCAGGUCGCAGCCUCCCCUGGGUUUAAAUCCCACUUCUGACA